AAGUUAAAACAGCCAAAACGUAUCAGUUAAAUCACAAGCCUCACAACCUGAGCAAAUAAGCAUGGCCCACCUAGUAGGUAGAAAACCAUGCAGGGAUUAAGGCGUGAGCCACCGCGCCAGCCAAAAAUAAGGACUUAUUUUAGAAGAACCACAAAUGCAGCAGGGAGAAAAAUGGACACCCCUUCCCAGGACUGUCAUGAG
rnacentral:lncRNA from 1 species